rnacentral:rRNA from 1 species
UACGCAGGGUGCAAGCGUUACUCGGAAUUACUGGGCGUAAAGCGUGCGUAGGUGGUUUGUUAAGUCUGUUGUGAAAGCCCCGGGCUCAACCUGGGAAUGGCAAUGGAUACUGGCAAGCUAGAGUGCGGUAGAGGGUAGUGGAAUUCCCGGUGUAGCGGUGAAAUGCGUAGAGAUCGGGAGGAACACCAGUGGCGAAGGCGGGUCUCUGGACAGUUCCUGACGCUGAGGCACGAAGGUCAGGGGAGCAAACGGG